AUGUUUGCCCGCGCAAGGAAGGUGUGCCACAUUGCGCUCCCGUCGCUGAAUAAUCCACAUGACUCCUUCCCUUGGCUUCUCAUUGUGAGCGUUCAAUUGCCUACCUAUCCCACUACCAUGUUCGGUGAGAACGACGGCGAUGGUGUAAGCCCGGUCCUGUAUUUGAAGAUAUUCGACAGCUUCGACAAGGAGAUUUCUCCUCGACUCAAGGACAGCAUCAAGAGUGUGAUGAAUGAGGAAACGAAGAAGGUCAAGGGGUUCCCGGGGGACAACAACGUGCCCUACACAGAGAGGCUGAAAAUCGUGGCCGGCAUUAUAAACCCUGAAGACCUGCAGCUCAGCACCCUGAAGACCUUUAGAAGCCGGUGUUGUCUAGAUCCUAGCACAAGUUCUACUCCGGAUCCAUCGUCAGUGUUGUUCAUUGAUUCAGAUCCAUUGUGCCAUUGGAAUGACUUGGAUUCUGCCGUUAUCACUAGCCCGAGGUUGGUUUUACGUUUCUUAUUGGAAGAGUGA
rnacentral:rRNA from 1 species